GGAGAAUUUAUCUUUUCGAUCGCUGAUCUAAAGAACUUGUGUUAGGUUGGGACCCUGGCUUUCAACCUCAUGGGCAGUCUUAUGCUAACCUGGGCCACCGUCUUCCCUCACUGGACACAGAUCUCAUACCCCGACAAAAUGGUGUUCAGUAACCUUUUGGAGACCUGUGUCGAAGGAGCAUGCUGGAAGCCAGGAGACUCAGCAGGAUACUUGAUUUAUGGCCGGUGCUUUAUUGUCUUCGCUGUUGUCUUCUCAUUCUUCCUGAACCUCAUGUUGCUAGGCUUCUUCUUCCAGUUAUGCUCCCCUUUUCCCCUGCAGUGUCUCAUUUUUGCCAUCAUGGACAGCAUUACAGAUGAAGAGUUUCAAAGACAAAGACCCAAGGAUCACCUUUUUAUGGCCUUAUUUCAUCGUGUUUAUCUGCUUCAUAUUGUUCCUGUAUCCUGCAAUCCUCUUCAUCCUCAUCCACAAGGAAUUCUUUCACACUAAGUGUCUAAGAUCUUCCCGUGUGAUUCCCAAGGACCCAAACUUGGAGAGAGAGCAGAUGAAUUUGGAGCCCAUGGAGUCUAUCUUCUAGACCAGCUCAUCGUUCAUACAACCUUUCUGAGUCCAGACAUCUCCUGGUUUCUGGCACAUUUUAGUUGGAAUGUUGACAGUGGAUACUGGAGAAGGCAGGGAUAAAAAGAGGAGGCUGAGCCCAGUUCUGAGGGCAGGACUGUGCUGCUAGUCUGGAAAGAAAGAUGAAAACAUCAGUUUCCCUCCUUCUUUUGCCGGAUAUAGGGUGGGGUCCCUGCUGGUGUUCAGAGAUUUGCUGGGCAGUGAUUUGGACCCUGAAAUUUGCCAUUUCGAGAUGUUCUGCUUCUCCUCUUCUUCCCCACAUCAAGGAUUUUCUGGCAUUACAAUGUUUGGGGAUGUUGGUUGCUGAAAAUUCAGAAAUUCUUUGUAUGGCAUUUUUAGUCUUUGGAAGGAAAGUGUAAAAUAAAUUCAUAAAAUAAAAAAUAUAACUGAAGGAU
rnacentral:lncRNA from 1 species